CACCCCAAUCAUGGGCCAUACCUUGGGCGCCUGCCUCCUUACGGUUGGCUGGGCGACUUCUAGUACAGCUCACUUUCGUGAUGUGACGGGCGGUGUGUACAAGGCCCGGGAACGUAUUCACGGCGUCGAUCUGAUACGCCAUUACUAGCGAUUCCAGCUUCAUGCAGUCGAGUUGCAGACUGCAAUCCGAACUGAGCGCGGUUUUUUCCGAUUAGCUCCCCCUCGCGGGUUCGCAACAGUCUGUGCCGCGCAUUGUAACACGUGUGUAGCCCUGGACAUAAAGGCCGUGCUGACUUGACGUCAUCCCCACCUUCCUCUCCGUUAUCCGGAGCAGUCCUCGUAGAGUUCCCCCUUGCGGGUGGCAACUACGAAUAAGGGUUGCGCUCGUUGCGGGACUUAACCCAACACCUCACGGCACGAGCUGACGACAGCCAUGCAGCACCUCUACUACUGUCCCUUGCGGGAAGACGAUAUUUCUACCGUUGGUCAGUAGCGGUUCAAGCCCAGGUAAGGUUCUUCGCGUUGCGUCGAAUUGAACCACAUGUUCCACCGCUUGUGCGGGCCCCCGUCAAUUCCUUUGAGUUUCAGUCUUGCGACCGUACUCCCCAGGCGCAGGACUUAACGCGUUAGCUACGGGACGACCCGCCUACGCGGGCCACCCCAAGUCCUGAUGGUUUAGGGCUAGGACUACCAGGGUAUCUAAUCCUGUUUGCUCCCCUAGCUUUCGUUCCUCAGCGUCAGUUGCGAUCCAGUCAGCCGCCUUCGCCACGGGUGUUCCUGCAGAUAUCUACGCAUUUCACCGCUACACCUGCAAUUCCACUGACCUCUCUCGCACUCGAGCACGGCAGUUUUGAAAGCAGCCCUCUGGGUUAAGCCCAGAGA
rnacentral:rRNA from 1 species